AAAGGAGAAGCCGCCCAGUCAGGCGGGCCAAGGGACCAUUGAUCUGAGUCCAGUGAAAAAGUGGCUUCUCGAGCGCCCUGGAUCCAGGCCCACUUCUAGACAACUUCUUCUUUCAACUCUCUUUCAUGUGUUUUCACUUCACAAACAUGCCCGUUCCCAGCUGCCCCUGAGAGACCACGGUGAUGCUGAAAUCCUGAAAGACAGCAGGGAGGUCGGGUCUGCUUCAAAAGCUGGUGUGAAGGAAAGGGAGAG